rnacentral:misc_RNA from 1 species
ACUUGAAGCAUCAUCCAACUUAAAUACCCUGACCACUCCAUCCGCACAAGUUGUUAGCAUAACACAAAAUCAUAUCAAGCAAUUAAAAGGGUGUCUCUUAUAUUAGCAAGGUGGCAAGUAGAUGCAUCAAAUGUUAAAUAGCACAUAACUUCACAAUAUGAUGUUGAGCAACGAUGGAAGUGCAAAUCAAAGGAUUACUUGAGGUUUUUGGCAAUAUGUUAUCAACUUCUACACUGGAAUUUUAAUGGAACAUCACACGAAAAUAGGGGGAAAUUUUCUUUUAUCAACUUUCAAAAGAAUUACAAUGAUAUUUUGAAAAAAUACAUAUAGUAAGCCUUGUACCUGUUGCCAAACUCCGUCCAUCGUUAGAGAAACAUAUAUAGCCCAGUGACUGCUUCUCCAUGAUCUUUUAGAGUGUUCAAAUCCAAUG